GCAUGCGCUACUUUGUAAGAACACGGACCUGGAUAUAGCUGUGUCCACAUGACAUGUUUCUCCUGAUGAUAAUACACAGGAAACUGUCAAAAAGAGAUGGCUUGCCUCCCCCAGAACCCAGAAACUGUGAUAUGAUGUUGGGACCAAUUGAGUCCUGGCCCUCAGCUGCUCUUCCCUGCUAGAGCCUUCUAACUGAAGUUACUAGAAGCUGUGCCUUGUCUAGAGGAUCAGAGGGUGGGAUUUUCACCUGUUGGCCAUUGACUGCUGGGUAUUUAAGCCUCCAUGGUGCUAUUAAAGCCUUUGUACCAGU